rnacentral:rRNA from 1 species
AGCGGCGGACGGGGGAGUAACGCGUGGGUAACCGUGCCUCAUACAGGGGGAUAACAGUUGGAAACGGCUGCUAAUACCGCAUAAGCGCACAGUACCGCAUGGUACGGUGUGAAAAACUCCGGUGGUAUGAGAUGGACCCGCGUCUGAUUAGGUAGUUGGUGGGGUAACGGCCUACCAAGCCGACGAUCAGUAGCCGACCUGAGAGGGUGACCGGCCACAUUGGGACUGAGACACGGCCCAA